rnacentral:rRNA from 1 species
UACGAAGGGGGCUAGCGUUGCUCGGAAUUACUGGGCGUAAAGCGCACGUAGGCGGUCUUUUAAGUCGGGGGUGAAAUCCUGGAGCUCAACUCCAGAACUGCCUUCGAUACUGGAAGACUUGAGUCCGGGAGAGGUGAGUGGAACUGCGAGUGUAGAGGUGAAAUUCGUAGAUAUUCGCAAGAACACCAGUGGCGAAGGCGGCUCACUGGCCCGGUACUGACGCUGAGGUGCGGAAAGCGUGGGGAG